rnacentral:rRNA from 1 species
CCUACGGGAGGCAGCAGUGGGGAAUAUUGGGCAAUGGACGCAAGUCUGACCCAGCAACGCCGCGUGAAGGAAGAAGGCUUUCGGGUUGUAAACUUCUUUUUAGGGGGAAGAGCAGAAGACGGUACCCCUUGAAUAAGCCACGGCUAACUACCUGCGAGCAGCCGCGGUCAUAAGGAGGUGGCAAGUGGUGUCCGGAUUUACUGGGGGUAAAGGGCUUGCAGCAGGAGAGACAAGUCAAAUGUGAAAUCCACGGGCUAAACCCGUGAACCGCAUUUGAAACUGUUUCCCUUGAGUGGCGGAGAGGUAAUCGGAAUUCCUGGUGUAGCGGUGAAAUGCGUAGAUAUAAGGAAGAACACCAGUGGCGAAGGCAGAUUACUGGACGAUAACUGACGGUGAGGCGCGAAAGCGUGGGGAGCAAACAGGAUUAGAUACCCCUGUAGUC